rnacentral:rRNA from 1 species
CACGAACGCUGGCGGCAGGCUUAACACAUGCAAGUCGAGCGCCCCGCAAGGGGAGCGGCAGACGGGUGAGUAACGCGUGGGAAUCUACCCAUCUCUACGGAAUAACGCAUGGAAACGUGUGCUAAUACCGUAUACGUCCUUCGGGAGAAAGAUUUGUCGGAGAUGGAUGAGCCCGCGUUGGAUUAGCUAGUUGGUGGGGUAAAGGCCUACCAAGGCGACGAUCCAUAGCUGGUCUGAGAGGAUGAUCAGCCACACCGGGACUGAGACACGGCCCAGACUCCUACGGGAGGCAGCAGUGGGGAAUAUUGGACAAUGGGCGCAAGCCUGAUCCAGCCAUGCCGCGUGAGUGAUGAAGGCCCUAGGGUUGUAAAGCUCUUUCACCGGUGAAGAUAAUGACGGUAACCGGAGAAGAAGCCCCGGCUAACUUCGUGCCAGCCGCCGCAGUAAGAC